CCCAAAAGAGCCCCAAAAUACAUCUGCUACUUAACGCUGCACAUUUUUUUUCCUGGCUGUCCUGGCCUGCCAACUCUGAGCAAGCUUUUCUCGCGCGUUUUUGCACUAGCUCUACGCUUCCAGAACUGUACGCCCGUGGCUAAAAGUAGAACUGAGAGGGAAAAAUGCAUAUUCUGCUGGGAAAAAAAAAAGAAAAAGUUGAAAAAAGUGUCUAAAAGAUGGAUGCGUAACGAAAUCAUACCCAUACUUUACCUCGAGGCUUGAGUUAUAUAAACUGAACUGCGGCAAUUACCAAGCGCCUCAAGAUUAAUAAACAAUUACCAUAGUAACUGCACCAUCAUACGAAACCUGUGCUCAUGCAUUUUUAAUGCAUAAAUGGAAAUACACGCCGGCUGAAAAAGUCUCCUGCUUAUUCUGUUCCUAGACGACGCGGGAGAUAGAGCCAUUAAAGAAGCCCGUCGAGUUAUUUUUUAGCUCCGCUGGCUGCCGCCGCCGCGGCGCUUCGGCCGAGCGGCAAGUGUGAGAUAAUCAGUUUGGCCGUCCAGAAUGGAAAGGGGAAGAAAAGAAAGGUUUGACACGCGGUGGCCGACACGUAAAAGGGACUGCAUGCCUCCCAGAGACAAAGGUAGCCAGCGCCUGCAUGAUUGCUUCACUGUCGUCACCGCUGGGCUACUGGCUUCUCCCUCUGUCCUCUGGGGCUUGUAAUUUCACCAAAUUGUGCAAGUUUUAAAAGCCAUUUCCAAAAAAAAAAAAAGGAACAACAGGAAA